rnacentral:rRNA from 1 species
ACUGCUCAGUAACACGUAGCCAACCUACCCUAUAGACGGGGAUAACCUCGGGAAACUGAGGAUAAACCCCGAUAGAUCAUUAUGCCUGGAACGGUUUAUGGUCCAAAUGAUUCGUCGCUAUAGGAUGGGACUGCGGCCUAUCAGCUUGUUGGUGAGGUAAUGGCCCACCAAGGCUAUUACAGGUACGGGCUCUGAGAGGAGAAGCCCGGAGAUGGGUACUGAGACACGGACCCAGGUCCUAUGGGGCGCAGCAGGCGAGAAAACUUUGCAAUGUGCGCAAGCACGACAAGGUUAAUCCGAGUGAUUCCUGCUAAAGGAAUCUUUUGUUAGUCAUAAUACCACUAUUGAAUAAGGGGUGGGCAAGUUCUGGUGUCAGCCGCCGCGGUAAAACCAGCACCUCAAGUGGUCAGGAGGAUUAUUGGGCCUAAAGCAUCCGUAGCUUGCUCUGUAAGUUUCCGGUUAAAUCCAUUAGCUCAACUAAUGGGCUGCCGGAAAAACUGCAGAGCUAGGAAGUGGGAGAGGUAGACGGUACUCGGUAGGAAGGGGUAAAAUCCUUUGAUCUAUUGAUGACCACCUGUGGCGAAGGCGGUCUACCAGAACACGUUCGACAGUGAGGGAUGAAAGCUGGGGGAGCAAACCGGAUUAGAUACCCGGGUAGUCCCAGCUGUAAACGAUGCAGACUCGGUGAUGCGCUGGCUUGUGGCCAGUGCAGUGCCGCAGGGAAGCCGUUAAGUUUGCCGCCUGGGAAGUACGUACGCAAGUAUGAAACUUAAAGGAAUUGGCGGGGGAGCACCACAAGGGGUGAAAGUGGCUGCGUGCUACUCCGGUGUCGUUAAGCUUGCCG